GCUAACUCCGUGCCAGCAGCCGCGGUAAUACGGAGGGUGCGAGCGUUAAUCGGAAUUACUGGGCGUAAAGAGUACGUAGGCGGUUUAUUAAGUCAGAUGUGAAAUACCUGGGCUUAACCUUGGAACUGCAUUUGAAACUAUUAGACUAGAGUUUUGUAAAGGGGGGUAGAAUUCCAGGUGUAGCGGUGAAAUGCGUAGAGAUCUGGAGGAAUACCGGUGGCGAAGGCGGCCCCCUAGACAAAGACUGACGCUCAGGUACGAAAGCGUGGGGAGCAAACAGGAUUAGAUACCCUGGUAGUCCACGCCGUAAACGAUGUCGAUUUGAAGGUUGUAAUUUAUUAUGGCUUUCGUAGUUAACACGUUAAAUCGACCGCCUGGGGAGUACGGCCGCAAGGUUAAAACUCAAAUGAAUUGACGGGGGCCCGCACAAGCGGUGGAGCAUGUGGUUUAAUUCGAUGCAACGCGAAGAACCUUACCUACUCUUGACAUCCAAAGAACCGCAUAGAGAUAUGCGGGUGCCUUAGGGAGCUUUGAGACAGGUGCUGCAUGGCUGUCGUCAGCUCGUGUUGUGAAAUGUUGGGUUAAGUCCCGCAACGAGCGCAACCCUUGUCCUUUGUUGCCAGCGAUUUAGUCGGGAACUCAAAGGAGACUGCCGGUGAUAAGCCGGAGGAAGGUGGGGAUGACGUCAAGUCAU
rnacentral:rRNA from 1 species